GGAGGUGUAGCUCAGUGACAGAGUUCUUGCCUAGAAUGUAUGAGACUUUGGGUUCCAUCCCCAGCACACCCG
rnacentral:tRNA from 1 species